UAAAAAGUAAUUAAAAAUUUAAUUUUCUCGAACUUAGAAGAGCUAGUUAAUUAUAUAUUUUAUUGUGGAAAAAACAUUUAGAAUAGUUAAUUGGUAAUGAAAUGUUAUUCGUUUCUAAAUAUAUCUAGUUUUUCAAGAAAUAGAUUUAAUCUAGCUAGUUUUAUAUAAUUUUUUUCUUUUUUAGUAGUUUGUAUAAAUUAGUUAAUAUCCCAGGGGAUGAGCUUUGUGAUAAAGAUUUAAAAAAUCUUAAUUUAUAUAUUGUAAAUAGGAUUAGAAGUUUCCAAUUUUUGGAGGAUGUAAUAGUUAAUUUUGGUUAUUGUUUUAUUUAUAUGAUUUUUAAGUUAUUUAUUGAAAUAUGGGUUUUAAUCAGAAUUUUUCAGCAAUAAUGAUAAAAUUAGUAUAAUUAGUUGUAUUUGUAUGUAGGAGAGUUUAGGUUAGUAAAAGGAAUUCGGCAAAAGAUUUUCAACCUGUUUAAUAAAAACAUGGCCUUUUGAUUAUUAUUUAAGGUCUAGCCUGCCCACUGA
rnacentral:rRNA from 1 species